rnacentral:ncRNA from 1 species
AGAAAGUUAAUAAAUUCUUGAGUAAGGCGGAGCACGAGAAAUUCUGUCUGAAAAUGGGGAGACCACUCUCCAAGGCUAAGUACUACUGAUUGACCGAUAGUGAACAAGUACCGUGAGGGAAAGGUGAAAAGCACCCCUAUAAGGGGAGUGAAAGAGAACCUGAAACCGAAUGCUUACAAGCAGUCGGAGGGUCUUUAAGGCCUGACGGCGUACCUUUUGUAUAAUGGGUCAGCGACUUAGUGUAUGUAGCAAGCUUAAGCCGAUAGGUGUAGGCGUAGCGAAAGCGAGUUUUAAUAGAGCGAUAAGUUACAUGCAUUAGACCCGAAACCGAGUGAUCUAGCCAUGAGCAGGUUGAAGGUUGGGUAACACCAACUGGAGGACCGCACCCAUAUCUGUUGAAAAAGAUAGGGAUGACUUGUGGCUAGGGGUGAAAGGCCAAUCAAACUCGGAAAUAGCUGGUUCUCCGCGAAAACUAUUUAGGUAGUGCGGUGAGCGGACACCUUGAGGGGUAGAGCACUGAAAGAGCUAAGGGGGAGCGAUCCUUACUAAACUUUAUCAAACUCCGAAUACUCAAGAGUGAUACUCACCAGACAGACAUUAGGUGCUAAGGUCUAGUGUCGAGAGGGAAAGAGCCCAGACCGUCAAUUAAGGUCCCAAAAUUAUGGCUAAGUGGUAAAGGAAGUGAAUUGUCCAAAACAGUCAGGAGGUUGGCUUAGAAGCAGCCAUCCUUUAAAGAAAGCGUAAUAGCUCACUGAUCUAAACAAGACGAUUUGCGCCGAAGAUGUAACGGGGCUAAAGCCAUAUACCGAAAUUACGGAUUUACACGUAAGUGUAAGUGGUAGCGGAGCGUUCUGUAGGCCUGCGAAGGUGAACCGUAAGGUUUGCUGGAGGUAUCAGA